UAGGGAAUCUUCGGCAAUGGACGAAAGUCUGACCGAGCAACGCCGCGUGAGUGAAGAAGGUUUUCGGCUCGUAAAACACUGUUGUAAGAGAAGAAUGACAUUGAGAGUAACUGUUCAAUGUGUGACGGUAUCUUACCAGAAAGGAACGGCUAAAUACGUGUCAG
rnacentral:rRNA from 1 species